GGAGCGCGCGAGUAGGAGCGGGUGGGGAGCCGGGCGCGGAGACUGGCGCUCAGGGCCCAAUGGCUGCAAAGUCACAGUCCAACGAUCCCAAAACCAAGAGUCCUGGCAGCGUCAGCAAGGCCGCGACCCACGGGCAGUGGGGCCGUGCCUGGGAGGUGGACUGGUUUUCCCUGGCAAGCGUCACCUUCCUGCUGCUGUUUGCACCCUUCAUCGUGUACUAUUUCAUCAUGGCCUGCGACCAGUACAGCUGCUCCCUGACGGCCCCCUUGGUGGACAUCGCCACUGGGCAGGCUCGACUCUCAGACAUCUGGGCCAAGACGCCACCUGUGACGAUGAAAGCGGCCCAGAUCUACGUGGCAUGGGUCACGUUCCAGGUGCUUCUGUACGUGCUGCUUCCUGACUUCUGCCACAAGUUUCUGCCGGGCUACGUGGGGGGCGUUCAGGAGGGCGCCAUGACUCCUGCAGGAAUCGUCAACAAGUAUGAGAUCAACGGCCUGCAAGCCUGGCUCAUCACGCAUCUCCUCUGGUUUCUUAAUUCCUACCUCCUCGCCUGCUUCUCUCCCACCAUCAUCUUUGACAACUGGAUCCCGCUGCUCUGGUGUGCCAACAUUCUGGGCUACGCCGUCUCCACCUUCGCCAUGAUCAAGGGCUACUUCUUCCCCACCGAUGCCCGAGACUGCAAAUUCACAGGCAAUUUCCUUUACAACUACAUGAUGGGCGUUGAGUUUAACCCCCGAAUUGGGGAGUGGUUUGACUUCAAGCUCUUCUUCAAUGGACGCCCCGGGAUCGUCGCCUGGACCCUCAUCAACCUGUCCUUCGCAGCCAAGCAGCAGGAGCUCCACGGCCACGUGACCAACUCCAUGGUCUUGGUCAACGUCCUGCAGGCCAUCUAUGUGCUGGACUUCUUUUGGAACGAAACCUGGUACCUGAAAACCAUUGACAUCUGCCACGACCACUUUGGGUGGUACCUGGGCUGGGGGGACUGCGUCUGGCUGCCGUACCUCUACACGUUGCAGGGUCUGUACCUGGUGUACCACCCCGUGCAGCUGCCCACCCGCUACUCCCUGGGCGUCCUGCUGCUGGGCCUGCUGGGCUACUACAUCUUCCGGAUGGCCAACCAUCAGAAGGACCUUUUCCGCCGCACGGACGGGCGCUGCCUGAUCUGGGGCAGGAAGCCCAGGGUCAUCGAGUGCUCCUUCACGUCGGCCGAUGAGCAGAAGCACCACAGCAAGCUGCUGGUGUCCGGCUUCUGGGGCGUGGCCCGCCACUUCAACUACACCGGCGACCUGAUGGGCAGCCUGGCGUACUGCCUGGCCUGCGGCGGCGGCCACCUCCUGCCCUACUUCUACAUCAUCUACAUGGCCAUCCUGCUUACCCACCGCUGCCUGCGGGACGAGCACCGCUGUGCUAACAAGUACGGCCGCGACUGGGAGCGCUACACGGCCGCCGUGCCUUACCGCCUGCUGCCCGGAAUCUUCUGAAGGGCCGCCCCGGGAGGAGCCCCCAGCGGGGCAGGGAGGAGAGCUGGAGUCAGGUCCGCUGGGGCAGCAGGAUCUCUGCGCCGCACUCCAGGAGCCUCUGCGUCCUCACCUGUAAGAUGCAAACAGCCCGGCACUUGUCCUGAGUGGAAUUCCGGGGGCUUACACCGACUGCCUUCUCGCCAGCAGAAGUGACCAGCUUUCUCCGUGCAGUGUCCCCAGGGUGGGAGGAUGACCUGGCUGGCUCACAGAUGACGCUGUUUCUUCUCUGGGGUCUGAGCUGCCCGCUGCCCAGACAGCAGGAGUCCGACACUGAACGGGAUGUCUUCCAGCCCCCGUGGUCAGUCCUGCCCUUACUCUUGCUAAAUAAAGUAGAAGUGGACACGUAAGCUGUGGCAGUUAUCAAUUGACAGCCUCUCAGCCCCAGGUGCAGUCCUGCAUCGCCUGCUCUGCGGUAGUGAGCUGUGCCCUUCAGACUUCUCUCCUUCGCACGUGCACCUCGUUACAUUUGUCUGUAGAGGGCGCUAAGGGAUGCUGCAUCUUCUGGUUCUGGGUCUUGUACAGACUUGGCCCAGGCAACCCAGAGAACUUGGCCACACCAUCCGGGGGCCUCACCCAAGCCUUCCCCAAGGAGACCUGAACCCCAGCCUCGGGGACGGGACACCCUUCACGUGUUUUCUUACCUUGGGCACACUCCUUGACCUGAUCUUAGUUCUACAACCAGGGAUGGACCCCGUGCCCCCUGCAGUGGAAGUACAGAGCCCUAACCACUGGACCACCAGGGAAAUCCCUGAAAUCUUCUUUUAAUAGGAAGAGGGACGUCGCUGAGCAAGACCCACGGUUGCUGAAUAAACGCAAACCCCCUUGAGAAUCAGGCCUGCAGGUGCCACAUCUCUUCCUCGGGGAACUUAGAGCCGCAUCUAGGUCACGUGCAGCGCAAUGAAUGUGCCCCUCAUCUGCGACUGCGGCUUGGGCGUCAGCAAGAUCUGACACUACUCCUUCUACCAGGUGCCGCACGUGCCCCAGAGCAGCAUCCUCUCAUGCUGACAGAGCCGCCCUUGAACCCGACGUCCAGCAAAGAGAAAGGGUCGCAGGUAAGAGGCCAGGUGGUGGGCAAGGGGGUCAGGGAGAAGGCUGUGUGGCGGGCAGCUCGGGCCUCCCCCCAGCCUCGGGCGCCCUGCGGAGAGACUGAGAUACCAGCUGAGACCCAACCUCUUUGACAUUAGCGGCAAGAGUGACGGCAGCCUCUGGAGAACUCGCCAAGCAGUGUGGUACGGACGAGGUGUUUAAUCUGAAUGAUUUCAUCUAGACCUAUGGCUACUCUACGGGCAGGGCGAUUAUUAACCCCUUUGCACAGAUGAGGAAAUUGAGGCUUCUGGGAGUGGAAGUAACUUAGCUGAGGUCACCCAGCGAGUGGCCUGUGGACCCGCCCAGACCCCGGGGUCUGAGUGCACAGCCCCAUUCUCAACACUGAUGCCUGGUGUGUCGUGCCUGCAGGUCUAACCCUGACUUAAAAGCUCCCAGACCUCCUCCAUCUCUGGGCCUCACGCGGGGCCUGACAUCCCCGCACCCCAAGGAGUUGGUGGUGUGUGCUGGUCGGAUUGCCCCAGAUUGAACUGGAUUGAACUGGGUGGUGGAGCCCGUCAAGGCUGCUGGGGAAAGGGGGGUGCGCCCCCAGUACAGUGGCAGAGUACUCCUCAGGCUGGAGCGGGGUCCAGGUGAGGUGGGGACCACAGGGGCUGCCUUAUUGAGGACUGAGGUGAGCCAAUUAAGCAAGCAGCCAUGUCCCACCACCUGGCCCCGACUCCCUGGAGCCCAGCGGUGCCUCCCGCCGUGAGCGGUGACCCAGCGGGCAUGCCCAGUGGCCCAUGCACCACCUGCACACAGAGGAGGCUCGUGCCAUGUCCCAGAAGCAGAGCACCGCCCAGCACAGCUCAGGAUGCGUUACCUUAUGCCGCCUCGUGUAACACAGCACUCAGGGGAGCCAGUGAAUCUCCCCUGCAUGUGGGCAGGUCGGUCACAGAUGUGGGCCCCGCGGGCGCCAUGUGGACCUGGCACAGGCCUGCAGCCUUGCCACAUCAGAUACCAGCUCCGAGAAUGCCAGUUGCCCACUGGGGCCCCUGUGAGCUGGAGAGAGAAGACAGAGACAGAACUGUCCCUCACCCGAGGGAACGUGCCACUCCAGACUGCCUUAUUCGGGGUCCCCCAGAGAAACAGCACCCGUCGGAGACGCACAUAGAGAAGGAGGUUUAUUAUAAGGGAUUGACUCACGGGAUUAUGGAGGCCAGCAAAUCCCAGGGUCUGUAGUCGGCAGCGUGGACCCCAGGAGAGCGGAUGGUGUACGUUCCAGUCCAAACGCAGGAAAAACCGACGUCCCAGUUCAAAGGCCACCAGACAGGAGGAUAUUCCCUCUUAUUCAGGGGAAGGUCAUGCCUUUUGUUCUAGCCAGAACUUCACUGAUUAGAUGGGGCCCCCCGCUUUGGGGAGGACAACCUGCUUCACCCAGUCUAUGGGCCAAAAUGUCAAUCUCACAGACAGACCCAGAGUCACGUUUGACCCAAUGUCUGGCCCUUCCGUGGCCCAGGCACGUAGACACAUUAAGACACCCUCACACAGACUGCACUGCUGGCCACACAGCCUGUCUUGGGCACUUCCCCACCCUUCCCGGGCCCACUGCCUGCCUUUCUGUCCUGACUGUCUCCAAAUUUACCCUCUAAUCGUAUCAGGAUCCCAGCAGGAAACCAAAGCACACUCACGUCAGGUAAUGUUGGUGAGGGUUUGUUAAAGAGAUUGCGUACCAAGGUGAGCAUGAGUCUUAGAAAAGCAGCACGAGAGGGCUGCAGAGCCCCCGGGUGGUGACGGGGAGCGUCCCCUCGCCUCCACUCCCAGGGCUGAAGGAGCAGCAGGGGGAUACCUGCAUCUGGAAGGCUCAGCAGGUAGGAAGAGGACCCCUCAGGUCUCCAGCACCCUCUCCUGCAUCCCCCGGCUCUCCUUCUGCACCCCCACGGGCAGAUCCCGGUGGGUCACCUCGGGGGGAGUCUGUGACUACAGCCCAGGACAGAGAGAGGUGCCGAAGAGCGGAAGCUCCUGCAGGCUUCUGAAACAGCAGGCGAUGGGGGUCCGCACCGGGGCACAAGGAAUGCCACCUCACUGUGGACAAAUGGGCUUCCCCGCAUCUGUGGACGCCACGACGAGCUCCCCAACAUGCAGGCCCCUCCGAGCAGGGUCCCUUCCCUGCCUACGUCCGUCUGUCCAGCAGUCCAUGUCCAGGGCUCCUCCCGGAGACUGGGACAGGCUGAGAAGUGCAGGGUUGAUUUUUUUCCUGGAAUAAACCUGUAUCUGAAGAGGAUUUCUGGGGGCCGUGUCUCAGAAGAGAAGCCAACGGGGGAGCAGCCCAGCGUACAAGGAAGGGCCCAGCCUGGCCUUAAGACCUCUGGCUGCACCAACGUGUGUGACCUCAGGCGGCUGACUGGUCCUCUCAGUGUCCUGGUUUCCUCCUCAGAAGGAUGCUAACGGUAUCGGCCCUGGGGUCGCUGUUGAAAUGAAAUGAGUUAAUGCUGUAAAGCGCUUGUCCCAGUGCUUAGCGCCCAUUGAGCCCUCAGUAAAUGCUGGUUCUUGUCCCCUGGCCUCAGUUUUCUCAUCUAUAAAGUGGGAGUUUGACCGCAGGAACCCUGAAGACCCUUCCAAGCUCUGUGACCUCUGGCCUCAUGCCAGGCCAGGGGGAGCGGAGGUUGGUUUAUGUCUUUGUGUUUUUAGGGGGAGCGGUCUCUAGUUGGAGCAUAAAAUAUGCCCUCCCUCCUCCAUCAGGAUCCAAAUUCCAGGACUUUUUUUUUUUAAUUCCAGGAUCCACCAGGUUCCAAUGUGGGGGGCACCCAGGAACAGCACAGACUUACAGGCUAGUCUUUGUAUGGACAUGUGUUUUCACUUCUCUUGGGUAAAUCCUCAAUCCCCCCAGACCCUGCUCUGCAAUAACGCACUUAGUGGGCAGCACGCUUGGUGAGUAAUGAGCUCGGUGGCGUAUCCUGGCCGUGUGUAAUACUGUGUUUUAGUAGAGACGUGGAUGGACCUAGAGACUGUCAUGCAGAGUGAAGUAAGUCAGAACGAGAAAAACAAAUAUUGUAUAUUAACACAUAUUUGUGGAAUCUAGAAAAAUGGUACAGAUGAACCUGCUUGCAAGGCAGAAAUAGAGACACAGACAUAGAGAACAAACCUGUAGACACCAAGGAGGGAAAGGGGGGUGGUGGUAUGAAUUGGGAGAUUGGGACUGACAUAUAUACACUAACUAAUAUGUAUAAAAGAGAUAACUAAUGAGAACCUGCUGUAUAGCACAGGGAACUCCACUUCACAGUACAGUAGAAACUAACACAACCCCAAUCAAAAAAAAAAGUGCUGUCUUGACCCGGUUAAGAGGUCUUUGCUAGAGGCCGGUUAAUUUCCCUCUUAGGCAGCUGGUUAAGUCUGCACCUCAACCGCUCCCCUUAUGGUCCUGUCACACACCCCAGGGCCACGAUACACCUGCCCUAAUCACUUCAGAACCGGGUACCAGACCAUUAGGGACUGCCCCGAUGCACAGAGGCCGUGAAAUUAUUCAAACGAGCCAAUCCAAGGAACCCGUGCAACCUAGCAGAGCACCCUGCUGGCCACCCGUGAGCUGCCCCCGGCAGCUCCAGCUCACUGCAACCCCGUCCUUGGGUGCCGCGCCCCCGUGGCCCAGCCUGGCAGCUGUCCCUGCUUUGGAGCUGUACGUAACAAAAUCCGCCUUCCAUCUGUCUGAGUGACACCGUGUUGGGUCCUGCCAUCAAAAGAACCUGUACUCCUAUGGCCCCGUGUCACCAUCUUGCAGGAGAAUCAUUCGUUCACCCAGCCAGGUUCACAGAGGCAGUGCCCUGCCGUGUUCAGCAGCCGUGUUCACAUCCCACUUUUGCCACCUGCUCCCUCGCAUUCUUGUCCAGUGGUCUCUCCUGUGGAUGGGGGGGGGGGCUCCAAUAUCACAUACCCCCGGGGGUCACCACGGGCUGUAAACGCAAGGCUGUGCCUACCCUGUUCACUCCUCCCACCUUGUAUACAGUCAGCACCCAGGAGAGAUUUCCUGACCAAGCCACGUCUGGACUAAGGGUCUGGCGUGCAGUUAACACACAAUAACGGUUAGCUUUCAUUGUUCCGUUUUAAUAAAACAAAUGAAUCCUCCCACGUGUGAGAAUUUCUGUAACAUCUGCCCGCCCUCACAGAGCAGAAAGAAGGAUGUAUUCAGUGGAGGGACCGGUAACGGUUUCACAGAGACACUGGGAAUUCAACUGCAUCCCCACUGUGAGAAAACGGUGGUUCAUAAGAUGACGUGAUGCCCUGUGAUCAGUCCUGAGACGGUCCAUAAGGUGCUGUCCCAUUAGUACCUGGGAAGAACGCGAGCCCAUUUUACAGACUGGGAAACAGUGUGGCAGCGCUCGUCAGGGCAGCGCUGGCAUUCCUGACCCUGUUGUCUGGAUCCCUCAGGGGGAGCCCAGGGCUUCGGGCCAGUCGGCCUCAUGUGCUCAUGGAAUUAAGGGAAACCCGCCCCCUGAGUGUUCCGCGCUUUCCCGCAGAGCCUGUUUGAGACCUCCAGCGUGCCGGCCCUGUAUUUAGCCAUAUUCCCUAUAUGGCUCGUGGGUAGGUGGUUCCAACCUGUGCUCACUCUCCACCUUCAAGGACGUGUGGGUCACCAGUGAGGAGUGUAUAAGGACAUCGGUUCCUCCAUCGUCAGGAGGAUAACCCUCUGAUUGUGACUGUCCGGACCCCAUCGCCUGUCUCAUCAGCACAAGCUCCAGGCUGAGCCCCAGCUUGGCUGGAUUGAUCAGAGCUCAGAACCAACUCAAACGUGAAGGCGGCCCUCCCUCCCCCAGACUUCGACAAGAAGGGUCAAGAAAGGACAGACAGCAUCUUGGGAAACGCUCGCAAGGCACUCACUAUGUCGGAGCAGAGUCACGAGGGGAGGGAAUUUCCGGCGACCCCUGUGUAUUAUUUCGGCGUGGCUAAGCUGUGCUGCCGUAACAAACAUUCCCCAAGUCUCAGUGUCAUAAAACAAAAGUAUAUUUCUCACCCGUGCUACACGCCCAUUGAAGGUCACAGGGGCUCUGUCCUGCUUUACCCUCACGCCAUCUAGAACAUUGUCAUGCAUUGUGGGUGCACAUAAGGGUGCCCUGGAGGGCCUUUCACUGGCAGCAAAGGGACACAUGGCACGUCUGCUCAAUUAAUUGUCCAGAACAAGUCACGUGGCCCCAAACCACCACGGAGGCUGGGAAGUACCACUCUGCCGCGGACCUGGCCUCCAACAUGGGAUAAACAGCGCAGAUGCUCUGGUUCACAAGCGCACAGUUAGGGCACAUUCAUGCAGGGGGCAUUACGUCCUUCACGGAUUUAUUCCUCAUCACGUUGCCGUGAGGUUGGCCUAUUCAAGCCGACUUCGUGAUGCCGGAGCUGAAGCUGAGAGACGUUUAUGAGUUUGAGCGAGGUCAUUUCAACAGGGACGGGGAGUUUACACCUGUAGAGAACUCCUAGUUGGGACACCAGAGGGUGAGGGCAGAGAAAUAAGGGGAGAAAGUCAGCACGAGCAUCUACGAAGAAGUUCCCACCCUGGAGGCCCAAGUUCACCUUGUGAAGGACCGUGGAGGGCCGAACAGAGCAAUGGGGCAUCCCCUCGGCGGACGCUGCCUGGGGAAAUCCCACAGUGUCAAAAGUAAGAGCAAAUUCUAGAGGCCGUAGGAGAAAACAACAAAAACCAGGUAAACUGUAAAGUAAGGUUACCAGAAAAAUCCAGGCUGCCCAAGGAAAUUGAAUUUCAGAAAUGCAACACAUAACUUUAUGGUAUAAGCGCGUCCCAAAGAUGGCACGUGUUCUUAUUUGCUAAAUCUUUCAACCUUACUCUAAAAUAAAGAGGCUUUGAUCUGCACCAGAAUUCUUACCUGCAAAGCUGCUACUACAAGAUAAGAGGACAAAACCACGAGGAGGAGAGGAAGGAUGCUCUUGAGCUGGAAAUCUCAUACCUCCCCCGACUGGGGUUGGAAUGUUGGGAAAAACAUCAUUUGGCCACCGGCAAAGACUCAGAAAAUUUACCACCCACCUGCCCUCUCUCUCUAAUAAAAAAUCAAAGAUUAUCUAUGAGAUGAAUAAAGAAACAAGCUAAGAAAGGAACAGUGGGGAUUAAGGAAGACCAAAGUGGGAGUUACAUCUAAAUAAUUGUUUAUACGGAAUUUUUAAAAAGCAAAGCAAUGUGGAACCAAAAAAUCUCAGAGCAUCUCAACAUGGGGGGUGGAGCGGGGUUAGAGGCAAGAAUGAGGAAGAAGAUGAAUCUGUGGAUAAUAUGGACAUGAUUGAACUCCGAUAUUGCUGGGAAAGGAUAAGCUUCGAUGUGCAUGUUCGUGAUGUAAGGGUAACAGGCCACUGCGCCAUCCAGACCCAGCCUGAACCCGUGAGAUUCUGUCUACUGUCCUCAGCAUAAAAUAAUGGCCACGCAGCCUGCCCUAAGCCCUGCACCUGCCCAGGUACCUCAGGCCCUGGAAGGGAACCGUUCUAGCAGCCUCUGCUGCCUGUGAAAAUCAUCUCCCUCUUGGUGGAAUGCCAUUGCUUACGGCAAACAGUGGUUGGUUUGUUUCAGUUAGCAGAUGUUCCUGUUUUUUUUCUGACCUGAAAGCAAGUAUCAUUCUUUCCAUAAAUUUGGAAAUAGGAGCGAAAGUUGCUUGCCGUUACCUUUCCGUUAGCUAUUCACCCGGCACGAUGCCUCUGACAGGGCAUUCCUGUGCCCUGAUCUGUAGGCUGAAGACCACCCAGACAUCCCCCCUCUUGAUGACAAAUUUCACUUUGAAUGAUGGUAGUUGAACGAAUAGAUCAGGAUACCUUUAUGGUAGUAAACCUUCAAGUAACGCUUUUAAUGACUUGUAAGUGGACGAUGGAAUCUAAACGAAUUCCCCUUUAUAAUAUUCUGAAUUUUGUACUAUCUGCGUUCAACUUUCAACCAUUGUUUUGAUUAGCUUAAGGGAAACCCGGGAGAAAGUAGCAAUAAAUGGGACUCGUGUAACAUGAAAUUACAAAGGAAAGUGAAAAUAUAAGUCAUGAAUCUUCUCACCUUUUUAGGUGCAUUGAGCUUCCAAGUACAUCAGGCAAAGGGUAUAGUGCCUAGAAAGUGCUGAGAACUCCGUCAGAAUUAGCGUGCCCCAGUCAAACCCCUCGGUUCUGUCCAAGUAAGGAAUAGCGCCACUCAGAAUCUUUAAAGUAAUUCUUGUCUUUUCUCUUUCAUGGCCCACAUAAAGUGUAGCAAAUCUUAAUGAUUCUACCUCCAAACGCUAUACAGAAUCUAAUCAUUUCUCACUGAGCUCCUCCUCUCCCUGAGGCUUUGUCACUGUCCCCUCUCGCCUGGAAUUUCCAGCAGCCUCCUGCCUGAAGUUCCUGCUUCUGCCCAACAGCCAGAGUGACCUUUGAAACACACAGAUGAGAUCACAGCAUCCUUCUGCAUAGAACCCUCCGUGCAAGCCCGAUGAGCCAGCGCUUCGCGCCCAGCUGGGUGGUUAUAAUCAAGAAAACAGACAGCAAAUGUUGUCGAGGAUGUGGAAAAUUGGAACCUUGUGCAUUGCUGGUGGGAACGUAAAGGGGUACAGCUACGAUGGAACACAGUUUAGAGGUUCCUCCAAAAUCUUAACGUAGACUUACCGUGUGAUCCAGCAAUUCCACUUCUGAAUAUAUACCCCAAAGAAUUGAGAGUAGGGACCUAAACCGUAUGUGUACAGCGAUAUUCAUAGCAACAUUAUUCCCAACAGCCAAAAGGUGGAAACACUCCCCGUGUGCAUCGAUAAACGCGUACUUACACAAAAUGUGGUCCAUCCAUAAAUGGGUUUUAUUCAGCCAUAAAAAGGAAGGAAAUCCUGACAAAUGCUGCCACAUGGAUAAACCCUGAGGACGUGAGGCUGAGUGAAAAAAAGUCACAAAAAGGACGCAUGCCGUCUGAUUCCACUCGUAGGAGGUCCCUAGAGGAGUCAUAUUCACAGAGACAGACAGUAGGGUGGUGGGGGCCAGGGGCUGGGGGAGCGGAUGGGGAGAUUGGUUUAAUGGGGAACUGAAUUUCAGUUUUGCAAGAUGAGAAAAAAAGCUCUGGAGAUGGACGGUGGAGAUGGUUGUACAACACUGUGAAUGUCCCUGACGCCACUGAGCUCUCCACUUAAAAAUGGUUAAAAUGGUCAAUUUUACUUUAUGUAUAUUUUACCAUAGUAAAAAUUUUGAAAACUCCCAAUGGGCUCUCAUCCCAGAAGGAAACGUACAGGCUUUACUUGAGUCUCUGCCUGUGUGACCCGCCCUGCUGCCAACCCUGUGACGUCACCCCCCCCAUGCUUCCCGUCACUCACCCACUCUGGUCACACCUGCCUGCGGGCUGCUCUGCUCAGACCCACUCCCACCACAGGGCCUCUGCUGCCCCGACACAGUGGCCCCAGAGAGCUCCUGGCAUGACUCACUCCCUCACUGUGUUCAGGUCUUUGGGGAAACUCUCUUUAGCAGAGAGCCUUGUCCCGCCCACACCACUCUGUGUGUGUCCUGCUCUGUGUGCUUUUCACGGCUCUGAUCUCUCUGCAGAGUUUUCCUUUGCUUCUGUGUAUCGUCUGCCCUCCAGCUGGGAAGCCAGGCCCUCGAAAGCAGGGACUGUGUGUGUUUGCUCACAGCUGAAUCCCGGCACGUUGGUCCACCAUGGUUGUUCAACACGUAUCUGUUGAACAAACGAGUGAAUGAAUGAAAGAAAUGGACAAAAAAUAAAGAAAACUUAUAGAAAGUGGGCAAACUACAGGGAUUGGCGAUGCCCAGCAGAGAACAAGCAGAUGAUAAAAUUAUGAAUCAAUGCUCCAACGCACUGAUGGAUUUCUUUGGAUUUGGUGGAAUUAGAAAUUCUACAGGGCUUCCCUGGUGGCGCAGUGGUUGAGAGUCCGCCUGCCGAUGCAGGGGACGCGGGUUCGUGCCCCGGUCCGGGAAGAUCCCACAUGCCGCAGAGCGGCUGGGCCCGUGAGCCGUGGCCGCUGAGCCUGCGCGUCCGGAGCCUGUGCUCCGCAACGGGAGAGGCCACAACAGUGAGAGGCCCGCGUACCGCAAAAAAAAAAAAAAAAAAAAAAAGAAAUUCUACAAGCUAAGAAAAACAAAGAUGGGAGUGAGAUACUGCUCGACACCUGCUAAGUAACCAGGUACCACGUACAGAGGAAGCUCGUGGGGAGAGGCGCCCUGGAGCCCAGGCACAGCCAUAAUCUUCGCCUAAGCUUCACCCCCACCCCACCUGUGAGGGGACAUUCCUGCCAGACUCCCUGCAGUGUCGCACGUGCCAACGGAGCCUUGAGCACUGCAGGUGGACAUGGGGACAGACCGGGGGAAUCAAUAUAUAACGCUCGGUCCAUACAAAUCCUCUAUUUCUAUGUGGUGGUUAAAAGCAAUGAAUUAUCCAUAGGAGAUUUUAAGAUGCUCUGUCUUAAAAAUCUGUGUUGAAUUUUUUAAAGUAAAAAUGGAAAUCUAUAGCUCGAGAGAUCUACUUUCUAUUUGUGUAAAGUUAUAAAAGCACAUGGUUUAAAGAGUCAGACUAUUCUAGGGAACUUCCUGCAAAGGGCCAGAUAGUAAACACUUUCACUACACAGUGUCUGUCGCAACGACUCAACUUUGCCUUUGUAGAGCGACAGCUGCCCUUGACGAUGUAAAUCAAUCCAUUUACGUUACUUAUGAUGCUGGAUAUAUUUAUUUAUUUUUAUACUGCUCUUUUGAAUGCUUUUCGUUUCUUUUUACAUUUUUUACAUUUACGGUUCUUCUACUGAACUGACUUAAUUUUCUUCAUUCCCCAACUGAUUUGGGAGUAUGUAUGUUAUUUCUUUUCUCUUUUGGUUACCAUAAAAUCUUUACAGGCUUGCUAAACGUAAAGUUGGGGAUGAAUUCGUUCCUACCGCUACCUCUGGAGAGAUUGUAGAACACCCGUGUUCCAGUCUCUCCUCCUCUAUUUUAUUUCUGUCUUGGGUUUGAAUUUGACUUUGUUUGUUCCUUUAGAAGUCCUCUUAGCGAGGGUAUGCUGGUGGCAAACUCAUGCCUAUCUGAGAAUGUCUACGUUUUGCUCACACUUUGAAAAAAUCUUUGAUGUAUAAUCCACAUGGCAUAAAAAUUCAUCCACUUACAGUAGGUAAUUCAAUGUUUUUAGUAAAUUUAUAGCAUCGUGCAACCAUCACUGCAAUGUAAGUUUAGAGCAUUUUCAUCAACCCUAAAGGAAACCCUGUAUCCCUUAGCAGUCCUUCCCCAUCCUCCCCUCCCCCAGCCCCUGGCAGCCACGCAUCUGCCUUCUGUCCCUGUGGAUUUCCUUAUUCAGGACAUUUCAUAAAAAUGGAAACACACAACACAUGGUCUUUUGUGUGUUUUCAAGGUACAUUCGUGUUGGAGCGUGUGUCAGUAAUUCAUGCCUUUUUAUUGCUGAAUGAUAUCCCAUUGUACGGCUGGACCACCUUUUGUUUAUUCACUCAUCUUUGAUGCUCACCAUUUCCGGGUAGACCCAUAAGCACCACCCCCACACACCCCCUCCCUCCCUGCUGCCUAGAUUGGAGUCGACCUUCAGCUGACCUUGGGAGCUCUGGGUUGCAGAUGGAGCCUGGGUCCUGGAAUCCCCUCCUCAGAGAAGAGGCACUGAGGCUGUUAGAUGCUCAAUAAACAGACUUGUGUUGGAUUAAGCUGCUGAGACUGAGGGUUAUCUGUUAAAGCCGCUGGUGUUUUAACUGAUGUAUGUGUGAAGCGUGCAAGUUGGGGGAGAAGGAAUAAACUGGGCUUUCAUCCUUUGAGAC